rnacentral:rRNA from 1 species
CAGGACGAACGCUGGCGGCGUGCUUAACACAUGCAAGUCGAGCGAUGAAGCUCCUUCGGGAGUGGAUUAGCGGCGGACGGGUGAGUAACACGUGGGCAACCUGCCUUGUAGAGAGGAAUAGCCAUUCGAAAGGAUGACUAAUGCCUCAUAAUAUUGUAGCUUCGCAUGAAGCAACAACCAAAGGAGCAAUCCACUACAAGAUGGGCCCGCGGCGCAUUAGCUAGUUGGUGGGGUAACGGCUCACCAAGGCGACGAUGCGUAGCCGACCUGAGAGGGUGAUCGGCCACAUUGGGACUGAGACACGGCCCAGACUCCUACGGGAGGCAGCAGUGGGGAAUAUUGCACAAUGGGGGAAACCCUGAUGCCAGCAACGCCGCGUGAGUGAUGACGGUCUUCGGAUUGUAAAGCUCUGUCUUCAGGGACGAUAAUGACGGUACCUGAGGAGGAAGCCACGGCUAACUACGUGCCAGCCGCCGC